UACAGAGGUCUCAAGCGUUGUUCGGAUUCAUUGGGCGUAAAGGGUGUGUAGGUGGCGCGCUAAGUCGGGUGUGAAAUUUCGGAGCUUAACUCCGAAACUGCAUUCGAUACUGGCGUGCUUGAGGACUGGAGAGGAGACUGGAAUUUACGGUGUAGCAGUGAAAUGCGUAGAUAUCGUAAGGAAGACCAGUGGCGAAGGCGGGUCUCUGGACAGUUCCUGACACUGAGACACGAAGGCCCAGGGGGAGCAAACGGGG
rnacentral:rRNA from 1 species